CCAAGUUCUGAUUGACAUGAGUCUUUAAACCCUUAACCUUCAAAAACUUUCUUCUUUUGAGAGAUUUCCAGAGACUGGGAAACUCCGCUAUCAAGUACCACGUAGGCUUCUGGAAUUGAUGACAGCUGUGCAAAUUCCUCUUACUGAAGCAGGGGAGGGAGCGGGGAAAUCAAGCAUCAGCCCUUUUCCUUUUCUCAUUGCUCACUCAGCUGCUGUCUAAAGCCCCAGCUACGGCCUCAUUCUUUCAAGGCUGAGAACUGACAAAAAGACCAGCAGGACCCACGAUCACCUGAAGCAAACAAUGCCAUAGAUAUUGUUUGGGAACAACAGUCAGACACUCGGGGAAAACCUUUGCUUCGAUGA